rnacentral:rRNA from 1 species
GACGAACGCUGGCGGCGUGCUUAACACAUGCAAGUCGAACGGAAAGGCCCUGCUUUUGUGGGGUGCUCGAGUGGCGAACGGGUGAGUAACACGUGAGUAACCUGCCCUUGACUUUGGGAUAACUUCAGGAAACUGGGGCUAAUACCGGAUAGGAGCUCCUGCUGCAUGGUGGGGGUUGGAAAGUUUCGGCGGUUGGGGAUGGACUCGCGGCUUAUCAGCUUGUUGGUGGGGUAGUGGCUUACCAAGGCUUUGACGGGUAGCCGGCCUGAGAGGGUGACCGGCCACAUUGGGACUGAGAUACGGCCCAGACUCCAACGGGAGGCAGCAGUGGAGAAUAUUGCACAAUGGGCGGAAGCCUGAUGCAGAAACGCCGAGUGCGGGAUGACGGCCUUCGGGUUGUAAACCGCUUUCGCCUGUGACGAAGCGUGAGUGACGGUAAUGGGUAAAGAAGCACCGGCUAACUACGUG